UACGUAGGGGGCAAGCGUUGUCCGGAUUUACUGGGCGUAAAGAGCGCGUAGGCGGAACGUUAAGUCCGGUCUGAAAGCCCCCGGCUCAACCGGGGAGGGUGGCUGGAAACUGGCGUUCUUGAGGGCGAGAGAGGAGGGUGGAAUUCCUGGUGUAGCGGUGAAAUGCGUAGAGAUCAGGAGGAACACCCGGGGCGAAGGCGGCCCUCUGGCUCGACCCUGACGCUGAGGCGCGAAAGCGUGGGGAGCGAACGGG
rnacentral:rRNA from 1 species